UGGGUGUACCUCAUCUGGUGAAGAGGGCAGGUUGUGACCCUGCGAAGGCGGGUUCGAUUCCCGUACGCCCACCCA
rnacentral:tRNA from 1 species